rnacentral:lncRNA from 1 species
UCAAUAGAUUGGGAGCUCUUUAACAAGACUUUACAGAAUUCCCUAGUCCAGUGGUUGAUAGGAAAUAAUGAAAAUGGUAGACUAAUACCCUGGUGGUCUCAUUUCAGCUGGUUUUUAUACCUUGACGGUUCAAGGUUUAUUACUUUGGUGCCUACUGGUAUCAGGUUUAUUACUUUGGUGCCUACUGGCAUCGAUAUGUCUUUAUUAGCUACUGUUUUUCCUUCUUUGUACUGGUGUAUGUUUGCAGUACUUGGUUUAUGCAUC